GUGUGCCUCCUGCCCCUGGUCAGAGGGUGUGCUCAGAUUGCCCUACCCACUCAGCAGUGCUGGGAAAUGGACCUGAGAACUGCAGGGAAAGGAGGAGGCCUAGGUUUGCUGUGCCAGAAAAAAAUGGGCAAUAAAUGAAUUAACCUUCAGAAGAGGCGCAGAAACCCAGGCAUCCAGACAAAGAGGGAAUUGAUUGUCGGGAGGUAUCUUGUGCCUGUUUCCUAAGUUUACAGUUUUGUGGUGAGCCAGCCCUCCUCGACUGCUUGUCACAUGCAGACUCGGCUUUCCUGGAAUGUCAGACAGCAGCACUCGCACCUCCGCAAUGUUGGGGGUAAUUAUGUCGGAAGACAGCCCUGAAAACAGAUGAUGGGUGCACCAGCCUGUGAUGAACACCUACAAUUCAUUCACAUAGAGGCUCAUGCUUGAGAUCUAUUCUCCUCUGAUUUCUCCUUACUCUCAGGAGUUUAUAAAUAUCUUUCUACUGUAAUAAGCCAACAUAUACACAGUGGUAGGGAUGUGUAGAACCAAGACUGACUCUUCUUUCUUCCUCCCUCCCUCUUUCACUUCCUGAAAGGGGUAAACAAGCACAGUAGUUGAUCCUUUCCUCAUGGUUGCCAGAGGUAAAAUCUGGAAAGGCUGAACAACAAAAUAAAUUGGGCCUACCCAAUAAUUUCUAUUUUAAGAAUACUUGCUGAUUCUUGUAACCCUGCUGAAAAUGACACACACUUUGAGGCUUCAGAUCAGAUAUUCCUUGAUGUAUUUCAGGAGUGCAAUAAUGUUGAAAUAUAUUAAGAAAAAAACAUUCUUAGCCUCCUAACAGCAGAAAAUAAGUGCACAUGUUUAAAUUUUCAAGGGAACAGACUGGAGUUCUGGCAAAUGCUUUUUAAUAUUGCAAAUGGAAAACAAUGACUACACUGAGAGAGAUACAGAAACUCCCUCAUACAAUUCAAGCAAUAUAUUUCCUUUUCAUGAGUUCCUUUAGGCAAUUUGUGUCCUAAACCUGCAAAGGCAUGCAGAAGUUUAACUUAGUCUACAUACACGUUUCUACUUACAGCUUGCAAACUAAUAAAAAACUUUCAUCUGUUACAGCUAUGAGAUAUAUACUCACUGACUCCUCUCAUGUUAUUUUACUUACUUUUGUAUAACCUCAACCAUUAAAAAUAAAUUAAAAAAAAAAGUAAAAUAAAGUGGAACACAUUGAAGGAGAAAAUAGAACUGUUGUAGUACACUAUUAAAAACACCUACCCCCUCAACUACUAGCAAAAAAAAAAAAAAAAAAAAUGUGAGGGGAAGAUAAAAAUGAUUUGUGUUCUUACCUAUCUUGUGUUAUAUCAACAAUGAAACCCCCCACACACCAAAAGUGCAGUGGUAACGUUGUAGCUCAUUUACUGAAUCUUCUGGCAAUAGAAACUUAAGAGAUGUACGUCAUCCUGGCAUUACUUUUCUGCCAACUUAAUGUUUCAUGUAGGUUUUUUAAACUAAUUUAGAAAAAAAAAGGAAAAGAGUGGAGUCAGAAAAUAAAAUAAAGCACCUACACUGACACUAUUUGUAUUUUGACAUUAGACUUCUUAAUUACAUCUGAUUAAAUUUCUCAUGCUUUUACAUCCAUUGUUUUCCAUUGCUGGCAGUUUUCUAAAACACAUUUUUGCUUGUCUUCCUAGAACAAAUUAAAAUGGAUGGGAACAUGUUGGAGGCAAGGAGCAGCAAGGAAAGCAACAAUUAAAUGUUAAGUAACAAACUGGAUUUUCUAACAUCAACAGAAUUGACAGGCAUUUUAUUGUUGGUCUAUCAUUUUUAAAGUAUUAUUAUUUUACCUAAGUAUAAUACUGGUUUGGAGUAUAGACGUAUAUUUAGACUAGAGAUUCCUUUUAAAGCAAGUUCUCUGUUGUUGUUUUUUUGUUGUUGUUGUUUGUUUGUUUGUUUUAGUAUUUAUUUAUACAAACACACCCUAUCUUUGAAAGGGAUCCCUGAUACUUCUUUUGAGUGCUAACUUUUCUCUGCAGGGCAUCACAUACUUCAAUAAAACCACAUAAAGUUGGGAGGCAGACAAGCAUUCAGUGAUUAGACGCAUCAGAGCUUACAUUACAAAGUCACUGACAUCCCAGUGUCAUUCAGAACACAGGCUGUAAAGCUGCUGGAAUUUCCACACUAACUCUAAUCUUAAGAAACUCCAUGCACUACGCUCAUUAUGGGACCCACACAGUUUCCUCCUAUGUCUCACCGGUCUUGCAACAAAGCUUACAAUCUCAUGGGAGUUCAGGAUAAACUGGUCGCUCAGAAGUACCACCUCACAUCUCAGUGGAACUGAAACCAGCAGCCAUGUUGUGAAAGCCUGUGAACAUCCCUUUCGUUAUAGACAGCUCUACAAGAAUCAGACAGACUUCACUUAUGUCAUUACUUAGGACUGCGACCUUUACCCUGUAAGGACUAUUCACAUCAAUUCAAGUCUCAGUGCUUUAAUUACUAAAAGCUGCUAGCAAAAGUUUAAUGAAUUAAAAAUCACUGAGAGAGGAUUGUUUUACAAGCUGACCUGCCUAAUGCUGUAUCUUUCUACUUUUGUCUCAGCACAUGCUGUCCAGAUCAGUGGCCACUUAAAAGAAAUGGCUGAGAUAGAUUGCGAGGGUUCAUAAUGUAGAUGUAGAAUGUAAUGGUAGAUUGUGAGGGUUCAUAAAAUCAUGCAGCCUGAAAGAGCAGUCCAUCUCUUUAACCUAUUGCUAACCUCCUGAGAAUUAGACAUUAAAACUUUAACUACUGACUCUUGUUCAUCCCCAGAAUUAAAAGGAAAGUAUAGGCAACUGCAGAAAUAUCCUAAACAUAGAACUUUUAAUAACAGAUGCUGCCUUUUGGAGGUUACUGCUUCUCACCAUUGACUAUAAAAGGAACCCUAGGGUUGCUAGUAUAAAUCUAGAUGUGUCCCUUUAAGACGUCUGUGAUUGAUGAACAAUUCCCACCCAAAUGUUAAGGGAAGAAAUACUACACAACAACGGUAUAAACUGUGUAAAUUCAUCACCUGGGGCAUGAGGCCCACCGGAUGUUCUUGGGUUUGGAUUGGUUUGGCAGGAAGUGUGAGGAAGCUGAUAACUUGCCAUAUAUCAGCUAAACUGAAGAAAAAGUGAAGGACAGGGUACUUAAAGGGAAAAGAGACAAAGGGAGUUGUGCAAAGUACCAAAGAGGGUGGGGAAGAGCAUGGUUCAGCACUUUAACAUGAGGUCAGGAAUGUCCCAGUGAAAGAUCUCCAGAUGAUCCCAAAUUACCUCAUAUGUUUUGGAAACUGCACUAUGUGAUUGAGUCCUUGAUUGGUUCACCUCUGCAUUUUCCCCUACGUACAGUAAACAAGCAUGAACACUAACACUUCAAUCAUCCCCAUCCCCUCUACUAAGUCUUAGACCAGAAGAGAUGCUGGAGAGAGAUGGCUCCAUUCAUGUGCUCUGGUUCCAUAAGAAGUGCUUCUGCAGUUACCUGUGGAGCAAGUACUCCUGCAGACACUCAAUAAUUACGAGUUCAUUCAUAAUAUUGUCUUCAACUUAUAUAGCUGAAACAUGCACAAAUGUACUGGGAUGGUUGUUUCCAGAUGGUAUGGACUGAUGGAUUAUUGCUAACCCUUAAGAAUUUUAAAGACCAUACAUAUGACAUAAAGGAUACCUCAUACAUUUACUGCUAAAUAGAGUUUGAGAGAUUAGCCUUGGGCCCUUUGUGGUAUCCUGGUGGUCUACUCUCUGCAUGGCUCACAGUCCAAUAGUCAGUACUAAGGCUUGGGGUCUUGAACAUGAAAGGUGCCAUGACCACAGUGCAAGGGACUUAGUUGUGGUUAACAUCAAGCUGAGUUGUUUUAAAAAAAGAUAAACAAGAAUUUUUUUCUGGAGAUUAAUUUUUGAAUCCCUUUUGGGUAUCCAAAGAAUUUUUCAGUAACCUAAGCGUGUCAGCUUUAGAAAGUGCUAAGAAUGUACAACUUUUACAGAAUCUAGACUGAACUGAAAAGAACAAAAAUUUUGGACUGCCAACAUGUACUAAAGAUCCUUUGUAUCUUUCAAUCCACCCCUGCCUUAAACCAAAUUGCUUUACUGCUGCAUAACACAUUGCAGCCUGAAAGCAACCUACAGUAAGCCUACUACAAGAUGUGUCCAUAACACAAUACAUUUAAACUCUGGUGGUUCACAACAGGGCUGCCAUGUUAUCUAAUUGACAAAAGGAAACUUAGACAGAGGAAAAUCCUAUCAAUUUGUUUCUACUAAUCCAAAACAGAAAUAUAGCUGUUGUCACAAGCACUUGUUUAAUUUUCUUCUUGUUUAUAAGCUAAUAAGUAACACUAAAUUAUUUGCGAAAGUUUGUUCCCACUUCACUUUGCAUUCAUAGCUGCAGUAUUAUCUGAUAAUUAAAGGCAAUGCCCUAGUUAAGACUUUACUAUUUUUAUUACCUAUAAUCUAAUUCUCUGAGGAUACUUAGACUUAGACAUACACUAAUGCAAACAUUUUAUGUAACACUUUUAAUAUUAUUUAUGGUACUAUAUAAUCUGAAAACACAAUUAUUCUUGAACAAGGCUUAUAAGGAUAAAUCCAGUUUUAAACUAUGAAUGUAAGGUAGGUCCUUAUUACUGUUUAAAAAAUGUAGUUUUAGGUUGGUUGGAGAUUUUUGUUAAUAUCUUAAGAACAGGUAAGGUGAUUCAGAGCAGAAUCUGUCAACAAAGGAAGCAAAUAAUUGAUUCAAGUAUGUUCCGAUCGUUGUUUCCCACUUGAGUGAUUAAUUCUUGAUUAAGGUAGUGGUAAUAAGGCGGUGCAUUUUUCUGAUACUCUUCCUUGAAGGAAAUUCAGAGUGGUAGCUAUUAGCUCUAAUGACUCUUAAAUGUUUCAAAACCAUCUUGAACAAUCGCCAAGAGGCAGAAAUAAGAAUGUUUGCUGAAGGAACCCAAGGCUUAACUGAAUUAUCUGUUGUCUUAUCCAAAGGACUUUGAAGUAGCAUUACUAAGGGACAAUUUUUUUGUUCUACUCAAGACAGUUACCCAGCACUGAUGAGAGAGAGGAGGGGUGAUAUUUACUCUUCCUAAAACUAAUUUCUGUGAGUCAGGAGCGUGACUCAGGCUGGUCAGUGAUGUUGAUGUUAGCCUUGGAGAGAGACAGCUUGGUUAACCGUGUUGCUUCUUAUCUUUGGGGGUAGAAGGAAAAAAAAAAUAAACAAAAUACUUGUAAUCUGAUCACAGAGCAGCGUAUAACAACACUGCAAUUUAUGAACCAGAUAUUCAGUCAGCAUGAAUUGGAACAGACCCACAAAAUGAGUGAACUCAAUGGAGCCUCACAAACAUCGGCUGACCAUAUGCUCUUAAAGAUAAGAACACGGCUUACAAACCAACACACCUUAAAACGUCUGCAACAGGGAAAAAAAAAAAAAAAAAAAAAAAAAAAAAAAGGAAAAAGAAAUAGAUUACCUCGUUGUGGCAUCAUACAUACCAUGAGACCUACAAAAGCUCUCUUGCACCUUCCUAACUACAAUGUAUACUCCCACAGUUUGAGUCCUGGUGCCUGGCAGGUGAGCUGCCUGACAAAUCCUAAUCCAUACUAAGGGACAGACCGAUAGCAGGCCCAGAUGAGCUACAGCAACGUGAUUUUUAACAAAUCCUCCUCUUCAACUGGCCCAAAAUGUUUCCAGGGCCACCAUGCCUGGGUCUUUUUCCACCUUUUAGGAAUUCAAGGGAUUUUGCCAAGGGGAAGAAAGUAAAGAGGAUUGCUCCAAACUGGGGAAGUGCUACAUAGGAAAUGUCCUUGCAAUAGAGUAGCUGCGUGCUCACUGAAUACAUUUUUGAGCUCUGCUAGCAGAUAAUUUGCAGAGUAAUAGCACACAUGCAUUCAAGAGGCAGCCAUGAUCAUAUUGUCUUAUCACAUCCAUACCCUUCCCCCCCCCUUUUUUUAUGCUUUAUGAAAAGCUUCCCAAACAAUUUAUUGUCUUUAUAGCAGUUAUAAGGUUAUUCCACCCUGCUCUAUUUUUUUUUCUUCUCUCCCAUGCCUGAUCCAAGUCCUUCAGUGGGUCAGACUCCCUCUCAAUUGUAGGAUUUUAUACUUCAUGGCAUUUUUUUUUUCUUUGCAUGUAGCUGCUGCACCUUUGACUGUGUUUUCUCUGGUGUGGGGCUGUGAUGCUGUUCUGUUGUGGCAGCGCCUGGAAAGAACAUGUAAAUGUACAAAGCCCAGUUUAUACUUUCUGAUAUAUUUCAGAUAGAGCAUACAUGAAGAAGACGUUUGUGCAAUAGCUGUUCUUUUUCACAUUCCUUUGUUUACUUCCGUGUUAUCUUUCACCCUCCUGAUAACGCACUAGAAGAACAUAAGAGGAAAAUAAUUAAAUCCAGAACGUUGUGAUGGAAAUGGAGAAGAGCACAAAGCUUCAAGUACUUCGACUUAUCAGAUGCAUUCACAACAGGAAACAACAGGAAACGCAUGAUGCAGGAUACCGAGUUCCUGAAUAGUCAAGAGAAAGAAUUUGGAGCUGAUAAGAAUGCUAACGGGGGUAGAUAGAUAGGCCUCUUAGAUAGGCCUCAUUCCUAAGGGAGGGGCAAUGGCGAUUUGGAGACGAAUGGGCUGAUUUCGUUUUGUUUCACGCGGUGAUUGCUAGGCUAUAUGAGCUGACAAUAGAGCAAUUUGGCCAUGGUGACACCUACAAGAUGAAAGAAAGGGGAAUUGCUCGUAAUCAAGUUGUUGGUUAACCUCAUAGCAAAAGGAAACAGGAUCCGUAGGGAUGCGGAGUGCCGGGAGGAUGAUGAGAAGCGGCCUCCACGGCACCGCGGGGGUGGCAGAGGGCCCAAGGGCAGGGUCCUGGUCUGGGGUGGUCUGCGAAGGCUGACUGUGAUAAACCUCGCUGGUGCUUGGGCUCUGGGGAGUUCUUUGAACAUUGGUUUCUUCAUGCUUGCACGUAAAACGUCUCCUAACCACUCC
rnacentral:lncRNA from 1 species